AGCAGCGUGGCUCAGUGGAAAGAGCACGGGCUUGGGAGUCAGAGGUCAUGGGUUCAAAUCCCAGCUCUGCCA
rnacentral:tRNA from 1 species